rnacentral:lncRNA from 1 species
GUCAGCUAUCACAUCUUUAGGAUUUUACUCAGAAAAGAGACUUACACAAAGUGUUUUCUGCAAACUGUCAUAACAACAGCAGCCAUUUGUGACAUCAUGGAGUGAAGUGGGACAUUAUUCUCUGAGCCAAACAAUUUCUUCAAAUCAAACCCACAGAAGAAAAAUGCAGAUACCAGGUAAGCCUGGUUGUGUAUAUUCUCAUCUUAUUUUCUCCUUUUAAAUGCCCAGAUUUCCUGAACUGGCUAGAUGUGGGUAGUUCCAAUGUGACUGUUAUUCCUGGGGCUUUCUUACAUACUCCAACUUCCAUUCUGUGAAUGAAUCCAAAGAAGGUUGCCUUGACAACCAUUCACCUCUCUCUCGUCAAGCACCCUGAACAGCCUCAAGUGCUUCAUUGAGAUAAAAGCCCGCAGAGCACCCAGACUCAGGACCUCUGAUGACGCACAGCAGCUGAGAGGCUAACCUGGGAUGUGCUGCUGUAGAUAAAAGUCCUGAAACACUUCCUUUCCAUCACCUUUCCUGUCAGCUACCACAGCCAUUCCCACUGACAGGCCCUUGAACUGACAUUCCAGAGACCAAAGCAAAAUGUUGAAAAGCUGCUCCCCGAGUCCCUCGGAACCUCUCCGCAUCCCCUGAGCUGUGUCAAGCCUCAGACUGUGACAGAGCAUCUCCCAGAGCCCCAUGCAGUGAUUCACAGAAGCGGUGGGUGGCUAGAGAAGCCAGCAGGAAUUUAAAAAGACCUAAGACUUGAUGUGUCGGCAUCAGCACAGCCCUAGAACAAUGAAAAAAAUACAAAGAACAACAAGAACCUAUUCAGUGUUUUUCACCUUGAAUGAUGAAUCUCUCAGGCCUCAUAUCCUGGGCCAGUGGGCCCAUCAAGGAGAGAGGAAAGAGCCAACGUCUGAUAGGUGCCUACUCCGUAGCAGAGCUUCACCUAAGUUGAGUCCUCAAUUCCACACUCUGUUCGUUUGAAACAAUACUAGUCCCAGCUGUGACAUAAAAAGAUGGCAUGUUCUAUUUUAAGAGGCAGUUUCUUUGGUCUGGUUUCUUUGUAUUGAUUCUGUGUGGUCAGAAGUAACUAGGAAUACUGUCUUCACCAAGAGAAAACUUAGUAAUUUGGGAUUGUUUAACCCAUUGAAGGGUAAUUUGAAGAGUUUACACUAUGUGGAU